rnacentral:rRNA from 1 species
AGUGAACGCUGGCGGUAGGCCUAACACAUGCAAGUCGAACGGCAGCACAGUAAGAGCUUGCUCUUACGGGUGGCGAGUGGCGGACGGGUGAGGAAUACAUCGGAAUCUACUUUUUCGUGGGGGAUAACGUAGGGAAACUUACGCUAAUACCGCAUACGACCUACGGGUGAAAGCAGGGGAUCUUCGGACCUUGCGCGAUUGAAUGAGCCGAUGUCGGAUUAGUUAGUUGGCGGGGUAAAGGCCCACCAAGGCGACGAUCCGUAGCUGGUCUGAGAGGAUGAUCAGCCACACUGGAACUGAGACACGGUCCAGACUCCUACGGGAGGCAGCAGUGGGGAAUAUUGGACAAUGGGCGCAAGCCUGAUCCAGCCAUACCGCGUGGGUGAAGAAGGCCUUCGGGUUGUAAAGACCUUUUGUUGGGAAAGAAAAGCAGCAGGUUAAUACCCCGCUGUUCUGACGGUACCCAAAGAAUAAGCACCGGCUAACUUCGUG